rnacentral:misc_RNA from 1 species
UUAAGUUCAGCGGGUAGUCCUACUUGAUCCGAGGUCAACCAUAGAAGGGUUAGUUCUGGCAGGCUACCGCCUAGCCCCAGAGCGAGAGCUGUACUACGCUUGGAGCCAGGCGCUGCCGCCACUGUCUUUAGGGCCGGCCGCGAGCGGGCGGGGCCCAACACCAAGCAGAGCUUGAGGGUUGAAAUGACGCUCGAACAGGC